UUGACCUCGGAUCAGGUAGGGAUACCCGCUGAACUUAAGCAUAUCAAUAAGCGGAGGAAAAGAAACCAACCGGGAUUGCCUCAGUAACGGCGAGUGAAGCGGCAAGAGCUCAAAUUUGAAAGCUGGCUCCUUCGGAGUCCGCAUUGUAAUUUGCAGAGGAUGCUUUGGGUGCGGCCCCCGUCUAAGUGCCCUGGAACGGGCCGUCAGAGAGGGUGAGAAUCCCGUCUUGGGCGGGGUGUCCGUGCCCGUGUAAAGCUCCUUCGACGAGUCGAGUUGUUUGGGAAUGCAGCUCUAAAUGGGUGGUAAAUUUCAUCUAAAGCUAAAUACUGGCCGGAGACCGAUAGCGCACAAGUAGAGUGAUCGAAAGAUGAAAAGCACUUUGAAAAGAGAGUUAAACAGCACGUGAAAUUGUUGAAAGGGAAGCGCUUGCGACCAGACUCGCCCGCGGGGUUCAGCCGGCAUUCGUGCCGGUGUACUUCCCCGUGGGCGGGCCAGCGUCGGUUUGGGCGGCCGGUCAAAGGCCCCUGGAAUGUAGUACCCUCCGGGGUACCUUAUAGCCAGGGGUGCAAUGCGGCCAGCCUGGACCGAGGAACGCGCUUCGGCACGGACGCUGGCA
rnacentral:rRNA from 1 species